GAUGAACGCUGGCGGCGUGCCUAAUACAUGCAAGUCGAGCGAACGGACGAGAAGCUUGCUCCUCUGAUGUUAGCGGCGGACGGGUGAGUAACACGUGGAUAACCUACCUAUAAGACUGGGAUAACUUCGGGAAACCGGAGCUAAUACCGGAUAAUAUUUUGAACCGCAUGGUUCAAAAGUAAAAGACGGUUUUGCUGUCACUUAUAGAUGGAUCCGCGCUGCAUUAGCUAGUUGGUAAGGUAACGGCUUACCAAGGCAACGAUGCAUAGCCGACCUGAGAGGGUGAUCGGCCACACUGGAACUGAGACACGGUCCAGACUCCUACGGGAGGCAGCAGUAGGGAAUCUUCCGCAAUGGGCGAAAGCCUGACGGAGCAACGCCGCGUGAGUGAUGAAGGUCUUCGGAUCGUAAAACUCUGUUAUUAGGGAAGAACAUAUGUGUAAGUAACUGUGCACGUCUUGACGGUACCUAAUCAGAAAGCCACGGCUAACUACGUG
rnacentral:rRNA from 1 species